rnacentral:SRP_RNA from 1 species
UCUUGAGCUAGCCGGGGCAGCUAGGCGUUGCCUGUAACCCGAAAGCGCCGAAACGCGGGCGGCGAAGCCGAAGGAAGAAGUAUUAUUGGAUUGUAGAAGAACCGUUUUCUUUGACGUUGAAGCCUUGUCCUGUUCGGAUGACGGUGAAUUCAAUUGCAUCGAGGAGUCAUGAAAUUGUCUUCUUUAUCGCAGGUACCGGUUUAGGCCCGGAAGGGAGCAGACUUACUGUGGACAAUCGUCGCUUACAGGGGAGCGAGGUGGAGAAGAGGAAAGCGUGCUUCUUUUAUGAAACAAGCUACGACCGGAGGCGUGCUCAUUU